rnacentral:rRNA from 1 species
GGGUUGUGAGGUUAAGCGACUAAGCGUACACGGUGGAUGCCCUGGCAGUCAGAGGCGAUGAAGGGCGUGCUAAUCUGCGAUAAGCGCCGGUAAGGUGAUAUGAACCGUUAUAACCGGCGAUACCCGAAUGGGGAAACCCAGUGUGAUUCGUCACACUAUCAUUAACUGAAUCCAUAGGUUAAUGAGGCGAACCGGGGGAACUGAAACAUCUAAGUACCCCGAGGAAAAGAAAUCAACCGAGAUUCCCCCAGUAGCGGCGAGCGAACGGGGAGGAGCCCAGAGCCUGAAUCAGCAUGUGUGUUAGUGGAAGCGUCUGGAAAGGUGCGCGAUACAGGGUGACAGCCCCGUACACAAAAGCGCAUGUGCUGUGAGCUCGAUGAGUAGGGCGGGACACGUGGUAUCCUGUCUGAAUAUGGGGGGACCAUCCUCCAAGGCUAAAUACUCCUGACUGACCGAUAGUGAACCAGUACCGUGAGGGAAAGGCGAAAAGAACCCCGGCGAGGGGAGUGAAAAAGAACCUGAAACCGUGUACGUACAAGCAGUGGGAGCACAGGUUUACCUGUGUGACUGCGUACCUUUUGUAUAAUGGGUCAGCGACUUAUAUUCUGUAGCAAGGUUAACCGUAUAGGGGAGCCGUAGGGAAACCGAGUCUUAACCGGGCGUUAAGUUGCAGGGUAUAGACCCGAAACCCGGUGAUCUAGCCAUGGGCAGGUUGAAGGUUGGGUAACACUAACUGGAGGACCGAACCGACUAAUGUUGAAAAAUUAGCGGAUGACCUGUGGCUGGGGGUGAAAGGCCAAUCAAACCGGGAGAUAGCUGGUUCUCCCCGAAAGCUAUUUAGGUAGCGCCUCGUGAAUUCAUCUCCGGGGGUAGAGCACUGUUUCGGCUAGGGGGCCAUCCCGGCUUACCAACCCGAUGCAAACUGCGAAUACCGGAGAAUGUUAUCACGGGAGACACACGGCGGGUGCUAACGUCCGUCGUGAAGAGGGAAACAACCCAGACCGCCAGCUAAGGUCCCAAAGUCAUGGUUAAGUGGGAAACGAUGUGGGAAGGCCCAGACAGCCAGGAUGUUGGCUUAGAAGCAGCCAUCAUUUAAAGAAAGCGUAAUAGCUCACUGGUCGAGUCGGCCUGCGCGGAAGAUGUAACGGGGCUAAACCAUGCACCGAAGCUGCGGCAGCGAACGUAUCACCCAAGACAACUUUACGGAGUUGACGAUUGACGGAGCGAAGCGACGUCAAAGCGUUCAUUAAAGUCGAGUUGGCUUAGGGAUACGUUCGUUGGGUAGGGGAGCGUUCUGUAAGCCUGUGAAGGUGUGUCGUGAGGCAUGCUGGAGGUAUCAGAAGUGCGAAUGCUGACAUAAGUAACGAUAAAGCGGGUGAAAAGCCCGCUCGCCGGAAGACCAAGGGUUCCUGUCCAACGUUAAUCGGGGCAGGGUGAGUCGACCCCUAAGGCGAGGCCGAAAGGCGUAGUCGAUGGGAAACGGGUUAAUAUUCCCGUACUUGGUGUUACUGCGAAGGGGGGACGGAGAAGGCUAUGUUGGCCGGGCGACGGUUGUCCCGGUUUAAGCGUGUAGGUGUGUGUUCCAGGUAAAUCCGGUUCACUUUAACACUGAGGCGUGACGACGAGGCACUACGGUGCUGAAGCA